ACUCCUACGGGAGGCAGCAGUGGGGAAUUUUGCGCAAUGGGCGAAAGCCUGACGCAGCAACGCCGCGUGAGUGAUGAAGGCUUUCGGGUCGUAAAGCUCUGUCGAGGGGAAAGAAGUGUAUUGUGGCUAAUAUCCACGAUACUUGACGGUACCCCUAAAGGAAGCACCGGCUAACUCCGUGCCAGCAGCCGCGGUAAUACGGGGGGUGCAAGCGUUGUUCGGAAUUAUUGGGCGUAAAGAGCGUGUAGGCGGUUUGUUUAGUCUGAUGUGAAAGCCCUGGGCUCAACCCAGGAAGUGCAUUGGAUACUGGCAGACUUGAAUACGGGAGAGGGUAGUGGAAUUCCUAGUGUAGGAGUGAAAUCCGUAGAUAUUAGGAGGAACACCGGUGGCGAAGGCGGCUGCCUGGACCGAUAUUGACGCUGAGACGCGAAAGCGUGGGUAGCAAACAGGAUUAGAUACCCUGGUAGUCCACGCCGUAAACGAUGAGAACUAGGUGUUGCGGGUA
rnacentral:rRNA from 1 species